rnacentral:lncRNA from 13 species
GGACAACAAAGAUGACUGGCGUGGGUUUAAAAUUAUUCGGCCAAGUCACUGUCAAUAAUCAGUUCCCUCAACCUGAAAGCAGAUCAACCCAAGACUGAUGACAUGCAAAACCUUGGACAUUUUCCUCUGUUCUCCCUGGUGAUUGGCUAUAAAUUGGCUGAGGAGAUUCUGGGACAUUUGUACAAGCAUCAUUAACCAAACGUAUAGUAUUUAACACCUAUAUCAAACAUUGAAUCUUGAUUAUUUAAAUGUUACUUCUAUUACAAUUCCAUGAUAACCUUAUAUAAUCUGGCACACUUUUGCUAAAAAUUGAAGGCAUAUGAAGGGAGCAACACGUGGUAAACAGCAUAACCUUCUGGUCAGUGGAGGGAUUGUGCUGUGUAGGCUACACACCCUUCGGUUUGACCUAAACGCGCUGUGACAGCUCGAGUGUUUCAGUGGCGAAAAAAAGUUAUACAAUUACCAAGAAAUAAUUGGAAAAGUUCACUGCGGGCCAAUUAAUGGGGCUUGUCCAGGGCUUCUGCACCGCAACCCUGGAGCGAGUUCACAUACACAGCCUACAAAACCUCAGGUCCCUGAAUAUGUUGUGGCGCUGGUACACGAUACAGAGCAGUAGCCUAUGGACAACUUCAGGGUAACGGAAUUACGCCGAGAUUCAGAGUUUUCACAUUAAACUGUAUGCCAAACAAAAUCCAUUGAUUUCAAAGUUAACAAACCAAACAACUAUAUUCACAAUAACUACUUCUAACAAUUUCCACAGAAAAUUUUACCCCCAAAACAAUUAAAGUACAGUGCAGCUACAAAGUACCGACUUUGCAUCGGCACCGUUCUUCAAUUAAAUGUUUUUGUAAGAUGUUCUGUGUAAAUUGUUAAAAGUAGUCCUUGUGCAGAGUUGUAUGGUUUGUUAAAUUUAGAAAUCAAUGGGUUUUGUUUAGCAGAGAGGUCAAUGUGAAAAAUCUGAGUCUCAUAGUAAUUCUAUCAUCAUGGAAUUCCCCCUAUGGAACAAAGGAAAUUCUGCACAUGCAUGACAUGAACACAUUACCAAGUAGAAAUUUCACAGUAAUCUAGGCCUAAAUUCAAUGUUAUAUUGACUCUCGUAGAAAUGAAACUACAACCAACAGCAACUCCGAGAUAGUGUAGCAGUUUUACCAAGACAAACUAUGUUCUAUCCCUCGUAAAUCAAAUCCAACCUGACAUGUAGGCAACAAGAUAUGAAACACAAUCCAAGGAUUCCAACUAUGUCUCUAGCUAGAUUUCCAUCCAAUUGCCGAUAGAUUAUCAUGCAAAUAUUCUAAAAUCGGCAUAAAGCAAAUAUGCAGAUUUUCCCACCAGUGGUGUUUUACGUUUUUGUUUGUCAAACGCCAGUCAAGCAUCCAUCAUCAUGUCACUAGAAUAAGACCCUCAAUAUUUACUGGAAAGGAGUGUCAAGCUCACCAUACACCACCUUGUGAAGUUCAUCAUUGAUUUAAUCUGUAACCUAAUAAACUGCGUGGUUUUCCACCAUGUCGAAUGAACAAAUUCUGUCUGCAUUUAUAAAAUUCUACCGACACUACCUUUUUUUCCAUCAAAGCUGUCGUGAUUAAUUUUUUAAAAAAUUGUGUGACUUUACUUUCAUAAACUGUGGAUGGAAACGUGGUUAGUGUCAGUAGAAAGGGAAGUUUGGGGAUGAGGACACUUGAGUUGUUGGGUAACUUCUGCUCUCUCCAUUAGUGUCCAGUGACAAUCUCAAUUUUUAAAGUUCAUAUUCUGUUAUUAACUCAUACCCAAAUAAUGUUGUUGACUCAUCCUAUACUUGUAUUUGCGGCCAAAACAUGAAUUGGAGAAAAUAACAAUUCAAAAACUCCGCCUCAGACUUGUAUCUCAAAC